AAUCUCUGAAAUCCCACCAAAGCUGAGAGAAGUGAUCCACCAGAACUUUGAAAAGUCUGUCAGGUUUGGGGUUAAGCGUGUUGAUAAGUUUGAGUAUGAGGUUAUCGGGACCGGGGAGGUUUCCCAUUAUGUCAAACUUGUAGACAGAACGUGUUCCUGCAGGCAUUUGAUUUAUUGCGACUACCUUGCCCUCACGCAAUAUCUGCAGCUGUUGCAGAAGGGCUCCCCAUCCAUGGGAUUACGGCGCCAGUGUACUCGGUAAACCAUUGGCGGAUGUCCUACCAAAACUCUAUUAAACCCGUCCCUGAUGUGCGAGAAGCUGGAACACUUCCAGAUGCUGUAGGCUCCUUGAUGUUAUUUCCACCCAUAACUCGCAGGCCUCCUGGGCGCCCAAAGAAGAAACGCAUCCCAUCUCGUGGAGAGUUCCCGGUUAGAGAAAGAGUUGUGACACGCUGUUCACGUUGCACCGGCACAGGCCAUAAUAGGGCAACGUGCAAAAUGCCUAUAUAAAGGGCAUCCUACCAUCCCGUUGCCUGGUUUGUACAGAGUAUUAAGCUAUGAAGGGGAAGUCCAUCGUCGAUGGAGUUUAAAGAAAUGGACGCUACUUGAUUCCAUGUACAAAGUAGCAUAGAGUCAUUGCUUCUAGUGUGGCGACAGAAGCAGAGGACUAAAUGCACUCAAGUAGUAGCCGUAGUGCUUCGCACAAGCCGUAUGUGGCCUUUUGUUGUAAAUAUUGCAAUCUGCCCCCAAUGUUUUUUGUGGUCGUACUAGUGCUAUUUGGAAUUUGUUUUCUGUGUAAAAUCAAUGCUACAUUAUGAAACGGGAUGGUUUUAUGUACUA